ACCUAAACAUAUAGUGCCUUUGAAUAACUUGCAGAUUGGUGCUUUUACAGAAAAACGUAGAGGCGGAUCAGCUUGAAGAGGAGCGCCCUAAGCUGGAGCAUCAGUUCCGAGUAUCUGCAACCCCAACAGGUUUUGAUCCCUAAGGAGAAGAAAAUAACUAAUCCAACUAAGAGGAUGUACACCGACAGGAACGAGAAGUUGGUCAAUGACCCCAUCCAUGGACACAUUGAGUUACACCACCUACUGGUGCGCAUCAUCGACACCCCGCAGUUUCAGAGGCUGCGUUACAUCAAGCAGCUGGGGGGGCAUACUUUGUGUA